AAUCUGUCAAUUCUAGAACCACAAGGUCAGCUGGAAGGCAUCUAUCCUCUAUAAACACUGGACUGAACUGACAGGCUGACUCUGCCAAGGAUGGGUCACAUCUAGGUCCACUGACCCAGAGAGGACACGCUAACUCGGAUACGAUCAACCCCAAUCUCUCUGCGGCUCUAGAAGAAAUGAAAGAGUGAGAAGCACCGGGGUCCAUUAAAGCAUACACCUCUGAACACCCAAUGAUGA
rnacentral:lncRNA from 1 species